AAUAGAUACCCGGGUAGUCCUAGCCGUAAACGAUACUCGCUAGGUGUCGGCCACGGUGCGACCGUUGUCGGUGCCGUAGGGAAGCCGUGAAGCGAGCCACCUGGGAAGUACGGCCGCAAGGCUGAAACUUAAAGGAAUUGGCGGGGGAGCACCACAACGGGUGGAGCUUGCGGUUUAAUUGGAUUCAACGCCGGAAAUCUUACCGGGACCGACAGCAAUAUGAAGGCCAGGCUGAAGACUUUGCCGGAUUAGCUGAGAGGUGGUGCAUGGCCGUUGUCAGUUCGUACUGUGAAGCAUCCUGUUAAGUCAGGCAACGAGCGAGACCCACGCCCACAGUUGCCAGCGUACUCUCUGGAGUGACGGGUACACUGUGGGGACCGCCGCUGCUAAAGCGGAGGAAGGAAUGGGCAACGGUAGGUCAGUAUGCCCCGAAUAUCCCGGGCUACACGCGAGCUACAAUGGUUGGUACAAUGGGUAUCUACCCCGAAAGGGGACGGGAAUCUCCUAAAACCAAUCUUAGUUCGGAUUGAGGGCUGCAACUCGCCUCA
rnacentral:rRNA from 1 species